CGUGUAUGUUUACAUUGAGUAUCUGUCAUAUGUGGAGAUGUUGUUAUUGUAGGGUACUGCAAGCACCUGAUCUAACCUCACUUUGUCUGACAGUUCAGCGAGCUUGUUUACAAGGUGUUAGAAUUUUAAACGAGCGGCGAAAAUUAAACUUACGUUUUCCGUCCCGAAACCAUUAUGAUAUGGAAAUAUCGAUUAUAUUCAACUCUACUAAUACAAAACCAAUCGUCUAAUUACCCUUUUACUGAAAUUGAAUCAAAAAACAGUUUUGCCGGAUCUCCGCCAGAGACUAAGUCCAUGUAAACAAGCUCGCUGAACUGUCAGUGCACGGCUUCGUGACGUCAUCUUGCAGUAUCCUGUUGUCUAGAGUGUGAAUCAUUGUAUGUUAUAUUGAAGUAUCGGUAAUAAAGUGUAUACAAAUAAUGAAUACAGUUGUUGAAUAAUCAUUACAGAGAAAGAUUCUCACAUUGGCGACGAGAACGGUGAACAGUGCAUGUGAAAUUAGUUUAAUUUCGGUUCGGGAAGUGUUGUCUUUGGAAAAAGAAAGAGAUGAGUGGUGUGUGUGUGUGGUGCAUGCAGAGUGGUGAUGACCUCCAGGUGAUGACUUGUGAUUGAAUUUCAACAUUGGAAUCAAAAAGGUACAACCACAAGUAACGGCCAAGUAAUUUACCAAAAUGCCGAGCAGAGAUGGAUGACCAAAUGGAUGACUGUACUUCUAAUUUUGAUGUGAGACUGAAGCGAGACGUUUAUAAACUGAGGAGACUAUAAGCGAAACAACGUGGAGUGACCUUGCUGCGGAUCUGGAGAAAAAACGAGAUGUGGUACCUUGUGGUAUGCACAUAAUAAAUUAUUGUAUUACUCUAUUACGUUUAGCGUGUAUGUUUACAUUGAGUAUCUGUCAUAUGUGGAGAUGUUGUUAUUGUUGUCUAGAGUGUGAAUCAUUGUAUGUUAUAUUGAAGUAUCGGUAAUAAAGUGUAUACAAAUAAUGAA